rnacentral:tRNA from 1 species
GCCAGUUUGGCUCAGUGGGUAGAGCAUCAGCCCUCGGACUGAAGGGUCCCGGGUUCGAUUCCUGGCAAAGGCU